AUUGAACGCUGGCGGCAUGCCUUACACAUGCAAGUCGAACGGUAACAGGUCUUCGGAUGCUGACGAGUGGCGAACGGGUGAGUAAUACAUCGGAACGUGCCUAGUAGUGGGGGAUAACUACUCGAAAGAGUGGCUAAUACCGCAUGAGAUCUACGGAUGAAAGCAGGGGAUCGCAAGACCUUGUGCUACUAGAGCGGCCGAUGGCAGAUUAGGUAGUUGGUGGGAUAAAAGCUUACCAAGCCGACGAACUGUAGCUGGUCUAAGAGGACGAUCAGCCACACUGGGACUGAGACACGGCCCAGACUCCUACGGGAGGCAGCAGUGGGGAAGUUUGGACAAUGGGCGCAAGCCUGAUCCAGCAAUGCCGCGUGCAGGAUGAAGGCCUUCGGGUUGUAAACUGCUUUUGUACGGAACGAAAAGCCCCGGGUUAAUACCCUGGGGUCACGACGGUACCGUAAGAAUAAGCACCGGCUAACUACGUGCCAGCAGCCGCCGUAA
rnacentral:rRNA from 1 species